AUGAACGCUGGCGGCGUGCCUAAUACCUGCAAGUCGAGCGAACGGACGAGAGGCUUGCUUUUCUGAUGUUAGCGGCGGACGGGUGAGUAACACGUGGAUAACCUACCUAUAAGACUGGGAUAACUUCGGGAAACCGGAGCUAAUACCGGAUAAUAUUUUGAACCGCAUGGUUCAAAAGUGAAAGACGGUCUUGCUGUCACUUAUAGAUGGAUCCGCGCUGCAUUAGCUAGUUGGUAAGGUAACGGCUUACCAAGGCAACGAUGCAUAGCCGACCUGAGAGGGUGAUCGGCCACACUGGAACUGAGACACGGUCCAGACUCCUACGGGAGGCAGCAGUAGGGAAUCUUCCGCAAUGGGCGAAAGCCUGACGGAGCAACGCCGCGUGAGUGAUGAAGGUCUUCGGAUCGUAAAACUCUGUUAUUAGGGAAGAACAUAUGUGUAAGUAACUGUGCACAUCUUGACGGUACCUAAUCAGAAAGCCACGGCUAACUACGUG
rnacentral:rRNA from 1 species